AAAAUUCCAAAGGUACACAUAUCCUCUGAAAUAAAAUUUAUUUUUGAUUCUCUUGUACCCAUCAAGAUGAUGAGGUUUUCCUUCCUCUUUUGUUUCCUUACCUUCUUUCAUGGGCUGGGUCUCAUAACCCAACCCUCCCAAGGACUGUACUCAACGCUCACGUGGUGGUGGGGUGAUAUCUUCUUGGUUGUAUAGAUGCAUCCAAGGAGGAACACCGGGACUUCGUAGUAAUCACUUAAUCCUCUUAGCAUUAAGUUCUUCUAUGACAUUAAGGAUUUGAAUCUUGUACUCACUCUGCAAGAUUCCAAUAUAGUAUAGCUGGCUGGAUGAGUCCGUACAUGUAGUAUUUUGUUUUGUUGCUUAAUAAGUACAGUCAACAGGUGUUCCUGUUUUAGUUGUUUGUUCUUGAAGGUUGGUAUCUAUUCAAUUAUUAGUGCAGAUAAACCUCCUUGUAUCUCAUUCACUUUCCAGUUCUUUGACAAGCUAUACACUGAUACACAUUUUGUCUAUCUUUGCAACUGGAAAGUUGGAUGGCAAGUAAACAAAAUUGUUUAAGUAGGAAAGUUGAGAUUGCAAGUAUAUUAGGUUUUUCUAUUGUGCUUUUCAACUUCACACACUGGAUUUUGUGAAAACACUAAAAGGAUGGACACAUUAUAUAUAUAUUUCAUGAUUUACCAUGGUACAAAUAGUUAUGGAAUCAGGUCAAUAUCCAACUGGUUGCAUUAUGUUAGCAAGUUGUUGUGGAGAAUUACAAUGGAUAGGAUCAAUGAUGCCUCCAAGGCUCCAACCAUUUGCAAGUAGUUAGUACUUGGUAGAUUCUGCAUUACUUGGAAUUUGGAAAUGGGAAGAAAUACAGCCCAAGGAAUGGAGCACUUUGUUUCUACUGUUUGGUUUAAAAUAACGUCAGUGCCUUUCCUUAGCACCACCUUAUAGGCUUAUAGCUUUCAGCUUUGUUCAAAAGUCUCUUUUUUAUGUUAGUCUUGGUGGAAAAUGCAAUUCAGGUCUUUUUCGAACAUUUAAAGCUUAAUCAUUAUUUCAUCAACUAUUUGGCUAUGCAGGUCACUGAAGAGUGGUCCAUAGUCCAUACAUUUGUCAAUUGUUGAAAAUUAGGCGACACAAGACAUUUCCUGGGGCUGCAUGGCGCAACUCUUGAAAAAGUUGCUUCGCUGCUAAGAAUUGAUUUUUCUCACAUGCACAUUGCAUUAACCGGACAAGCUUCUGGUACACAAUAACCAGGUACUCGAUAACCUCCAUGUUAAUCUCAUGUUUUAUGUUUAAGUGUAAACAAUAAGUACAAGAACUAAUCUGUCAUGUGUUCGCUUUAUAUAAAAAAGGACUUCCUGGCUGAGUUAAACUCAGAUGCUCUCUUGAUGCCACAUUACAGAUGCCACAUUAAACUCAGAUGCUCUUGAUUUUUUUAGCAAGGGAAUUCUUAUCAAUCGGUUGGAUCUCAUCAGUGGAUUCUUUGCAUGCUCCUUAAUCUUCUAUACAUUCAAUUUGUCGUGGUGUUCUUAGUUGUGUCAUGCGUGCAUAAGUUUCUUAAAU
rnacentral:lncRNA from 1 species